rnacentral:rRNA from 2 species
AUGCAAGUCGAGCGGACUAAUGGGAGCUUGCUCCCGUUAGUUAGCGGCGGACGGGUGAGUAACACGUGGGCAACCUACCUGUAAGACUGGGAUAACUUCGGGAAACCGGAGCUAAUACCGGAUGACAUAAAGGAACUCCUGUUCCUUUAUUGAAAGAUGGCUUUUAGCUAUCACUUACAGAUGGGCCCGCGGCGCAUUACCUAGUUGGUGAGGUAACGGCUCACCAAGGCGACAAUGCGUAGCCAACCUGAAAGGGUGAUCGGCCACACUGGGACUGAAACACGGCCCAAACUCCUACGGGAGGCAGCAGUAGGGAAUCUUCCGCAAUGGACAAAAGUCUGACGGACCAACGCCGCGUGAGCGAUGAAGGCCUUCGGGUCGUAAAGCUCUGUUGUUAGGGAAGAAUAAGUGCUAGUUGAAUAAGCUGGCACCUUGACGGUACCUAACCAGAAAGCCACGGCUAACUACGUGCCAGCAGCCGCGGUAAUACGUAGGUGGCAAGCGUUGUCCGGAAUUAUUGGGCGUAAAGCGCGCGCAGGCGGUUUCUUAAGUCUGAUGUGAAAGCCCCCGGCUCAACCGGGGAGGGUCAUUGGAAACUGGGAAACUUGAGUGCAGAAGAGGAAAGUGGAAUUCCAAGUGUAGCGGUGAAAUGCGUAGAGAUUUGGAGGACACCAGUGGGCGAAGGCGACUUUCUGGUCUUGU